AAAUUUCCUAAACGGGUUCAUAAGUUUAUGUUCAUCGGGUCAAAGAAACACGAGUGUAUUUGUUAUCGGAUCUUAAUAACACAUGAAACCCUAGAUAAAUCGAUAAUAAAAUAUACAUGUCAGCCUCUUUCGAAUCAAUGAUAACCUAGAGGUCUCCUCUUAGAUCAAGCAGAGGAGGCGGCAGUGAAGAAUCUUUUAUCAUGUUUUCAUUCGAUUAAGAUCAACUCGAGUGAUGAAACCAAUCUGCAUCCGAAUUGGAGCUGUGUUUGAUUCCGGUGGAUGGUAAGAUAUUACGGCAUUUGUAGCUCAGGAUAGAGUGAGAACGACGAGAAUAACCUUGAUUUCUUAUAAUUCGAUUUCCUGAUAAAUUCAGCAUCUGUCGUUAAGUUAUUAAUGCUUUUGUUAUCAAUUUUAUAGAUCUGAUGGUAAAUUUUUGUGUAGGUCUCCUUUGAUAUGUAAAAUUGUUUCUGGUUUUUGAGUUUGAAAUUCUUAGUUUAACUCAUGAAUGUCUUUGCUUAUAGUGUUUUAGAGUGAUUAAGGUUCAUAAGUUUCUGUUGGAGAGCUCCACCACGAUGACAAUGGUGUGUUGUUGGCGAUGGUGGAAAAUUAAAUUGGAGAAGCUUAACAAGGGAUUCAAGAGGUUUCAGAUGGUUCUGCAUACGCACAAAAGAGAUGACCUUUAAGUGAUUCUAGCAUUGGAAAGCCUCUUGGAAGGGGCACGUCUUUCUCGCGGGUUCUUUUCGAGAGCCAGCUUCAACAAUUAAUCAUAAGUCGAACAUCUUCUCAGGAGAGAAGUAGAGAUAAAGGUAUAGUUGUAUUAAUGUGACUUCACAUUUUGGGUUCGGUGGUUCCAUUCCACAAAGAUGCAUCACUAUUGAACUGCAAAAUAUCCAAAAUAUGGAGAAGGAAUGAACAUGGAGAAGAUUUGAGAAAGUUUCAGUACAACACUACAGUAGAAGAGAAGCAUAUAAUAAGUAGAGAAUAAGUGAAGGUGAUGAGACAGAUAUGUGUACCUUUCGUUUAUAUAAAUUUUGGUAAUACUGUACCAAGCCCACAUAGUUUACUUAGAUUUAAUAUAUUUAGUCCAUUACGUAUAUACAUACUUAUAUUAACCAAAAAUAUAUAUUUCAUGUAUUUAUAUUGAUCAUUUUAAAAACA